rnacentral:rRNA from 1 species
UACGUAGGCAGCGAGCGUUGUUCGGAGUUACUGGGCGUAAAGGGUUCGUAGGUGGCUUGUUAAGUCAGACGUGAAAUCCCUCGGCUCAACCGGGGAACUGCGUCUGAGACUGAUGAGCUCGAGUGCAGGAGAGGAACGCGGAAUUCCAGGUGUAGCGGUGAAAUGCGUAGAUAUCAGGAGGAACACCGGUGGCGAAGGCGGGUCUCUGGGCCGUAACUGACGCUGAGGAGCGAAAGCAUGGGGGAGCGAACAGG